AAAAUUUUGAAUUGUUGCCUUUUAGAAGAUUUAUAAUUUUUCAUGAAAGUAGAAGAGAACAAAUACGUAUAAACAGAGUUGAAAUGAGACUGUUACGAGAUACAAAUUGACCAAAGAUUUACUCCAUUCUUUGGCAGAAGAAUUAAACAUCCAUUUACAUCAACCACAAAGAAGUACUGCUAUUCAUCCAGUUUCGGCCAUCCUUGCUACAUUAGCAUUUUGUGCUACCGGUACUUAUCAGCGACCACUGGGAGAAGGACGAUUUUUGGGAAUGUCGCAACAAUCGAUGAGUAAAGCCAUUUGUAUGGUAACUAAUGCCACAUAUAAUCACUUGGCUGCGGAAUGGAUUGUAUUUCCUACAACUUUUGAGACAAAACAAUUAAUUAAAAGACGAUUUAUGGAAAAAAUACUUCCCAGGGGUAAUUGGAGCAAUCGAUGGAACUCAUGUGUGGGAUCGAUGGGGACUUUUUACAUUUCUUUUAUAAUGGGGUUCCCAACAAUCGUACUAAUUUUCAAGUUUAUGGGAACUAUUAUAACCUACUAACUUGCCCGGACUAUAUUACUAGUUGAAUAAAAUUAAAAGUUACAAUUAAUUUG